rnacentral:rRNA from 1 species
GAUGAACGCUGGCGGCGCGCUUAACACAUGCAAGUCGAGCGAGAACCAGCCCUUCGGGGCUGGGGACAGCGGCGAACGGGUGAGUAACACGUGGGUAAUCUGCCCUCGGCACCGGGAUAGCCCGGGGAAACCCGGAUUAAUACCGGAUGGCCUCUCGAGCUCUCGGGCUCGUGAGAAAAGGUAGCUUCGGCCUCCGGCCGAGGAGGAGCCCGCGGCGGAUUAGCUUGUUGGUGGGGUAACGGCCCACCAAGGCGACGAUCCGUAGCUGGUCUGAGAGGACGAUCAGCCACACUGGGACGGAGACACGGCCCAGACUCCUACGGGAGGCAGCAGUGGGGAAUCUUGCGCAAUGGGCGAAAGCCUGACGCAGCGACGCCGCGUGAGGGAAGAAGGCCUUCGGGUUGUAAACCUCUUUCAGGAGGGACGAAGCCACUCGGGUUAAUAGCCCAGAGGGUGACGGUACCUCCAGAAGAAGCCCCGGCUAACUACGUGCCAGCAGCCGCGGUAAAAC